UGUGCUUGGAGAUUACCACCGGAUUAGCGUGCUUGCUUGAACACAUACCAAGCUCAUGCUACAAUCUUGGCCAUAAACCGUAGGACGACGAUAAAUUUUCAUGCAUUUUUAAGGCCUCCCCCCUUACCCCCAUUCAAUGUUGCCGUUUCGUGUAUAUUUAUGAUCUGACCUACUCUACAACAAAAUUGUGCGUGUACUAGGAAUGUGGGAGAGCAACAUUGAAUGGGGGGAGCGGGGGG